AGAGUUUGAUUAUGGCUCAGAUUGAACGCUGGCGGCAGGCCUAACACAUGCAAGUCGAGCGGUAGAGAGAAGCUUGCUUCUCUUGAGAGCGGCGGACGGGUGAGUAAUGCCUAGGAAUCUGCCUGGUAGUGGGGGAUAACGUUCGGAAACGGACGCUAAUACCGCAUACGUCCUACGGGAGAAAGCAGGGGACCUUCGGGCCUUGCGCUAUCAGAUGAGCCUAGGUCGGAUUAGCUAGUUGGUGAGGUAAUGGCUCACCAAGGCGACGAUCCGUAACUGGUCUGAGAGGAUGAUCAGUCACACUGGAACUGAGACACGGUCCAGACUCCUACGGGAGGCAGCAGUGGGGAAUAUUGGACAAUGGGCGAAAGCCUGAUCCAGCCAUGCCGCGUGUGUGAAGAAGGUCUUCGGAUUGUAAAGCACUUUAAGUUGGGAGGAAGGGCAGUUACCUAAUACGUGAUUGUUUUGACGUUACCGACAGAAUAAGCACCGGCUAACUCUGUGCCAGCAGCCGCGGUAAUACAGAGGGUGCAAGCGUUAAUCGGAAUUACUGGGCGUAAAGCGCGCGUAGGUGGUUAGUUAAGUUGGAUGUGAAAUCCCCGGGCUCAACCUGGGAACUGCAUUCAAAACUGACUGACUAGAGUAUGGUAGAGGGUGGUGGAAUUUCCUGUGUAGCGGUGAAAUGCGUAGAUAUAGGAAGGAACACCAGUGGCGAAGGCGACCACCUGGACUGAUACUGACACUGAGGUGCGAAAGCGUGGGGAGCAAACAGGAUUAGAUACCCUGGUAGUCCACGCCGUAAACGAUGUCAACUAGCCGUUGGGAGCCUUGAGCUCUUAGUGGCGCAGCUAACGCAUUAAGUUGACCG
rnacentral:rRNA from 1 species